CUACGGGCGGCUGCAGUGAGGAAUAUUGCACAAUGGAGGAAACUCUGAUGCAGCAACGCCGCGUGGAGGAUGACGCAUUUCGGUGUGUAAACUCCUUUUAUGAGUCAAGAAAAUGACGGUAGCAUAUGAAUAAGCACCGGCUAACUCCGUGCCAGCAGCCGCGGUAAUACGGAGGGUGCAAGCGUUACUCGGAAUCACUGGGCGUAAAGGACGCGUAGGCGGGUUGGAAAGUCAGGUGUGAAAUCCUACAGCUUAACUGUAGAACUGCACUUGAAACUUCUAAUCUAGAGUAUGGGAGGGGGAGAUGGAAUUAGUGGUGUAGGGGUAAAAUCCGUAGAUAUCACUAGGAAUACCUAAAGCGAAGGCGAUCUCCUGGAACAUUACUGACGCUAAGGCGUGAAAGCGUGGGGAGCAAACAGGAUUAGAUACCCUAGUAGUC
rnacentral:rRNA from 1 species